rnacentral:rRNA from 1 species
CCUACGGGGGGCUGCAGUGAGGAAUAUUGGUCAAUGGACGAGAGUCUGAACCAGCCAAGUAGCGUGAAGGAUGACUGCCCUAUGGGUUGUAAACUUCUUUUAUAUGGGAAUAAAAUGUUCCACGUGUGGGAUUUUGUAUGUACCAUAUGAAUAAGGAUCGGCUAACUCCGUGCCAGCAGCCGCGGUAAGAUGGAGGAUCCGAGCUUUAUCCGGAUUUAUUGGGUGUAAAGGGAGCGUAGGUGGAUUGUUAAGUCAGUUGUGAAAGUUUGCGGCUCAACCGUAAAAUUGCAGUUGAUACUGGCAGUCGUGAGUACAGUAGAGGUGGGCGGAAUUCGUGGUGUAGCGGUGAAAUGCUUAGAUAUCACGAAGAACUCCGAUUGCGAAGGCAGUUCACUGGACUGCAACUGACACUGAGGCUCGAAAGUGUGGGUAUCAAACAGGAUUAGAUACCCGUGUAGUC